rnacentral:tRNA from 1 species
GUCAGGAUGGCCGAGUGGUCUAAGGCGCCAGAUUUAAGCUCUGGUCGUCGAAAGAGGGCGUGGGUUCGAACCCCACUCCUGACA